UGGGGAAUAUUGCACAAUGGGCGCAAGCCUGAUGCAGCCAUGCCGCGUGUGUGAAGAAGGCCUUCGGGUUGUAAAGCACUUUCAGCGAGGAGGAAGGUGGUGGACUUAAUACGUUCAUCAAUUGACGUUACUCGCAGAAGAAGCACCGGCUAACUCCGUGCCAGCAGCCGCGGUAAUACGGAGGGUGCAAGCGUUAAUCGGAAUUACUGGGCGUAAAGCGCACGCAGGCGGUUUGUUAAGUCAGAUGUGAAAUCCCCGGGCUCAACCUGGGAACUGCAUUUGAAACUGGCAAGCUAGAGUCUCGUAGAGGGGGGUAGAAUUCCAGGUGUAGCGGUGAAAUGCGUAGAGAUCUGGAGGAAUACCGGUGGCGAAGGCGGCCCCCUGGACGAAGACUGACGCUCAGGUGCGAAAGCGUGGGGCAGCAAACAGGAUUAGAUACCCCUGGUAGUCCACGCUGUAAACGAUGUCGAUUUUGGAGGUUGUGCCCUUGAGGCGUGGCUUCCGGAGCUAACGCGUUAAUCGACCGCCUGGGGAGUACGGCCGCAAGGUU
rnacentral:rRNA from 1 species